rnacentral:rRNA from 1 species
UGGGGAAUUUUCCGCAAUGGGCGCAAGCCUGACGGAGCGAUACCGCGUGAGGGAGGAAGGCUCUUGGGUUGUAAACCUCUUUUCUCAGGGAAGAAUCCUGACGGUACCUGAGGAAUCAGCAUCCGCUAACUCCGUGCCAGCAGCCGCGGUAAUACGGAGGGUGCAAGCGUUGUCCGGAUUUAUUGGGUUUAAAGGGUGCGUAGGCGGUUUAUUAAGUCAGUGGUGAAAGCCCACAGCUCAACUGUGGAACUGCCAUUGAUACUGGUAAACUUGAGUACAGACGAGGUAGGCGGAAUUUAUGGUGUAGCGGUGAAAUGCAUAGAUACCAUAAAGAACCCCGAUAGCGAAGGCAGCUUACUAGACUGUAACUGACGCUGAGGCACGAAAGCGUGGGGAGCGAACAGGAUUAGAUACCCC